AGGGUUUGGAUCCUGGCUCAGAACGAACGCUGGCGGCGCGCUUAAAACAUGCAAGUCGCACGGGAGCGACAAAGCCUGCUUUGUCAAUGCUCUAGUGGCGAACGGGUGAGUAAUGCGUGGGCAAUCUGCCUCCGGGUAGGGCACAGCCCCGCGAAAGUGGGGCUAAUUCCAUAUAAAGUUACGUAUCGGCUGGAUAUGUAACCAAAGGCGGUUGAGGCUUGCAAGCCGCUGCCCGGAGAUGAGCCUUCGUCCCAUUAGCUUGUUGGUGGGGUAACGGCCUACCAAGGCGACGAUGGGUAGCCGGCUUGAGAGGGUGAACGGCCACACUGGGAUUGAGAUACGGCCCAGACUCCUACGGGAGGCAGCAGUUGGGAAUCUUGCGCAAUGGACGAAAGUCUGACGCAGCGACGCCGCGUGAGCGAUGAAGGCCUUCGGGUCGUAAAGCUCUGUUGUUGGGAACGAACCGAUCGGGGAGGAAAUGCCCCGGUUCUGACGGUACCCAACGAGGAAGCCCCGGCUAACCCCGUGCCAGCAGCCGCGGUAAUACGGGGGGGGCGAGCGUUGUUUCGGAAUUACCUGGGCGUAAAGGGCGUGUUAGGCGGCUAUUGC
rnacentral:rRNA from 1 species